rnacentral:rRNA from 1 species
AGUGAACGCUGGCGGCAGGCCUAACACAUGCAAGUCGAACGGCAGCACAGUAAGAGCUUGCUCCUACGGGUGGCGAGUGGCGGACGGGUGAGGAAUACAUCGGAAUCUACUAUUUCGUGGGGGAUAACGUAGGGAAACUUACGCUAAUACCGCAUACGAUCUACGGGAGAAAGCAGGGGAUCUUCGGACCUUGCCUGACAGAUAGAGCCGGUGCCGGAUUAGCUAGUUGGGGGGGUAAAGGCCCACCAAGGCGACGGAACGUAGCUCGUCUGAGAGGAUGGUCAGCCACACUGGGACUUGAACACGGUCCAAACUCCUUCGGGAGGCAGCAGUGAGGAAUAUUGGACAAUGGGCGCAAGCCUGAUCCAGCCAUACCGCGUGGGUGAAGAAGGCCUUCGGGUUGUAAAGCCCUUUUGUUGGGAAAGAAAAGCAGCAGGUUAAUACCCCGCUGUUCUGACGGUACCCAAAGAAUAAGCACCGGCUAACUUCGUG